rnacentral:rRNA from 1 species
AUUGAACGCUGGCGGCAGGCCUAACACAUGCAAGUCGAGCGAGCGGCGGACGGGUGAGUAAUGUAUGGGGAUCUGCCUGAUAGAGGGGGAUAACUACUGGAAACGGUGGCUAAUACCGCAUACCAUCGGAUGAACCCAUAUGGGAUUAGCUAGUAGGUGGGGUAAAGGCUCACCUGGGCGACGAUCCCUAGCUGGUCUGAGAGGAUGAUCAGCCACACUGGAACUGAGACACGGCCCAGACUCCUACGGGAGGCAGCAGUGGGGAAUAUUGCACAAUGGGCGCAAGCCUGAUGCAGCCAUGCCGCGUGUAUGAAGAAGGCCUUAGGGUUGUAAAGUACUUUCAGCGGGGAGGCGUUACUCGCAGAAGAAGCACCGGCUAACUCCGUGCCAGCCGCCGCGGUAAUUC